rnacentral:piRNA from 1 species
UAAAGUUCAGUGUUCCCGAUGAGAAGAGU